rnacentral:lncRNA from 1 species
GGAGGAGGAGACAGACAGAGUCCUGCAGUCUGUCCGUCAGGCUGUGAUCAGGCUGUCCAGAGCUGUGUGCAGCAGCACUGCAGUCAGUCUGGAUCAGGACGUGUCCUCCCUGCUGGCUGUGCUGGCUCAGGCUGAGAGCGCCCUCCUCAGGACUCAGCAGGACCUGCAGGGGGCGGAGCUCUCGCUGAGGCGGCUGGCUGAGGAAAACGCAGCUCUGCAGAACAGAGUCACACAGCUGGACGAGGACAAGCAGCAGCUGCACACACACACACAGCACACACAGCAGGAGCUCACACACACUCAGGACAUCCUGAACAGGUGAACACACACACACACACACACACACACACACACAGAGACUGGAUUUGUCAUUAAUAAAGACUGGUGUGCAUGUUAACUGAUGUUUUGUGUGUGUGUGUGUGUGUGUGUGUGUGUGUGUGUGUGUGUGUGUGUGUGUGUGUGCGUGCGUGUCAGGGAGCGGGAGGUGCUGGGCUCCCUGCAGAGCCAGCUGGAGGAGGUGCAGAGCAGGGAGGAGGAGGUGAAGAGGGAGAACGACAGGCUGAGGAGGGAGAGACAGCGACAGGAGGAGAGGAGCUGUGAGCUGGAGAGAGAGACACUCAGACGAGUGGAGAGUGAGCUGCUGCACAACGUCCAGCUGAGUGAGAGAGAGAGCUGCAGCCGCAUGGAGAUACACACCCUGAAGGGGGCGCUGCAGAGAGAACAGCUGGACCGGCAGAGGGC